UCACAUUCUGACAACACAUUUUCUGGAAAAGGCAGAAGCUUCCGUUAGUUCCACAGAUGUGCUUGUAUACAGCUUAAUUAGCAGGGCAGAAAUUAUGUGUGUUUUACGUGUUUGUUCUAAUCGCACCUAUUUUAGUAUGAAGCGCUUCCCUGCUGCCGGUUGUUAAUCUUAUGGCUAAGGUCGACCUUGGUCCACCUGUAUCCUUCCUCCUUUGCUAGCCGGAUGAUACGUCAGGGAGGAGACAGCUGGUGCUCAUUAAUACAUUCCUUUCCCAUAUACACUGGGCCUGUGCUCUCUAACUACAUAUCUUUCCCAAUACAAUGGGCUUGUGUUUUUUGAGUACAUCUAUAUUUAUUUCCCACACUAUAUCAAGACCAUUCAUAUAAAUAACGAACAGAGGUCCCAAUACUGUGCAAUGUUCUGUUAGUGCAUGAAAAUAAUUAAUAGCAGAUAUUUUUUUAAUUAUAUUUAAAUCUUUCUACAUUACAUUUACAUUACAAUCAGUUUGCAGACGCUCUUAUUCAGUGCAAUGAUCAGUACUGCAUUUUGAAGGAAGAAUUAAACAUAAUUUCUUUAAUAGAAUUAUCCAUAGAAACCCACGCACAUGGUCAGCCACAUGCAGACACACCCACAUGCACACACACCCAGACCCACCCUGUACACACAGACCACACAACCCAUGCACACACAAACACACAUACGAGCACACACACAACGGGUAAUCCUUGAACUGAAACUUACAUUUCUGCUCAUAUAGCUGUGAGCAUUGGCACCUCCCUGAACGGUAGUCAGGAUGAAGUUCGCCGUUUUCCCCGCGCUCUGCCUCCACCUCGCUCUGGUCAGCGCUAUAGAUCACAACCUGCAGCCCUGCAUGCCUGCACCCUACCAGGAAGCCCAUAACACCUUCAUCAAUCGGCACGUCAAUGCAGGAGCCCCAGAGGGCGGCGAUAAAAAAGACUGGGGAGCUUUUUUAAGAAACAACAGCUUCUGCAAAAGACCGGUCCAGUCAUUCUUCCCUUAUCGCGACAUGCAGAGAAUCAACGACGUCUGCUCGCCCGCAGGGGGAAAGAUUUACCGGCAAAAUCUGUGUAUCAGCAAAGCGAACUUCUCUUUCAUUACUCUGACAGUCAAUAAUGAGACUUGUCACGUGGAGCGUAUUAUACGUGAGUCGAAGCACAUCAUUCUCGCCUGUGAAGAAAUCGAAAAGAUGUGCCAACCUGUCCACUACCAGAAAAAUCCCGAAGACGUGGUUCCCAAGGAAAACGAUCCAGACUGCUCGGGUGCUCCCUCUGCCAUACACCCAGGCAUAAGGGCAACAAAGACUUCCGCGCUUUUCUUAAUUUUUCUAUGGUCUGCGUUGCUGUAGCUGUAAGCUCACAUUCAGAAUCCAUUUUCGCAAAGAUCGCUUCACAGCACUGAAAAAUAAAGAUAUUUAAUCCAAUGCCUUUUUGUAAUGCUACACCUAUAUUCACUGAUGGACUUUGUGCGGAGUUUGGGACCAAAGAGCCAAACCCCACAGAGUGAUUGAUUUGAUUCAGGCUUUUCAGCAAAAAAAUAAAAAGGAAGGAGUGAUGGCUAAGUCUCAUGGAUAGUGGGAAUUUACUGAUGUUAUUGCUGAAGUUGUGUCUACAUUCAUACUAUGAUAUAUAAAUACAUGUGUACGUACUUGCUCACUCAAUAGGUGAAGUUAGGUGUGUAGCCUAUAUUACUCUCUUCCUCUUUUUAAGCGCCUUGCUGACAUCUGUGGACACAGAGGAAGUGUAAGCUGAGGUGCUAAUUCGAGCACGUGACAUUCUAAUCAAAUGGUUUCGAAAAUCAAACACGCUUGGUGUGAGAUUUCUGUUUCCAGCCGUUUCGCUGCAGGUUGUUCAGUUGUCAAUGCCUGUUGUGUACAGCUACUGUGCGUAAUCUAGUACAUUUGCUUCCCGCCUCACUUUUACCGUUUCUUAUGUGCGGUUUUGCUUGUGAACAGUACAUGUUUUGAGUGUGGUUAUAAAUCAGUCUUUUUUUUAUCAAGUAGUUAUUUUCCUGUGACUGAGCUAUGUUGUGUCACCACUCACCAGCCAACGAUGGCACCCUGCCACAGUGCACAUUAAUAAAAGCAAAGUUCGGCUGAA